ACCUGCCCUAUGAAUAAUUUGUUUUUAAAUGGCUGCGGUACUCUGACCGUGCAAAGGUAGCAUAGUAAUUAGUUUCUUAAUUGGGAACUGGAAUGAAUGGUUGGACGAGAAAAAUACUGUCUCAAUUUAAUUUAAAUUAGAAUUUUAUUUUUAAGUAAGAAAGCUUAAAUAUUCUUAAAAGACGAGAAGACCCUAUAGAGUUUUAUAUAAAUUAUUAUAAUUGAAAGUUGAAGUAUUAUAGAUUUGAAUAUAGUAGUUUAUAUUUGGUUGGGGCGAUUAAAAAAUUUAAUGAACUUUUUUUAAAUAAUUCCAUUGAUUUAUGAGUAAGUGAUCCAUAUUUUAUGAUUAUAAGAUUAAAUUA
rnacentral:rRNA from 1 species